rnacentral:rRNA from 1 species
CAGUCGCCGCGGUAAUACGAAGGGGGCUAGCGUUGCUCGGAAUGACUGGGCGUAAAGGGCGCGUAGGCGGCAUGUACAGUCAGACGUGAAAUUCCUGGGCUUAACCUGGGGGCUGCGUUUGAUACGUGCAGGCUAGAGUGGGGAAGAGGGUUGUGGAAUUCCCAGUGUAGAGGUGAAAUUCGUAGAUAUUGGGAAGAACACCGGUGGCGAAGGCGGCAACCUGGUCCUUGACUGACGCUGAGGCGCGAAAGCGUGGGGAGCAAACAGGAUUAGAUACCCGCGUAGUCCCUGUCUCUUAUAC